UAAGAAUUUAAAAGUCGAACAGACUUAUCUAUUAAGAAUACUGCUUCUUAAAAUAUUCUUAAUUCAACAUCGAGGUCGCAAAAUAUAAUAUAGAUAUGAACUCCCCAUUUAAAUUACGCUGUUAUCCCUAAGGUAACUUAAUCUUAUUAUCCAUAGGCAAGGAUCUAAACUUACAUAAAUAAAUGAUAAAAAAAACUAAAGUUAUUAAUUUAGCCACCACCCCAGCAAAUUAUAACUCAUUAUUAUAAAAUAUAAAUAAUCUAAACUAAAUAAUAAAAAUUUUAUAUAAAGUUCUAUAGGGUCUUAUCGUCCCAAUAAACAACUAAAGCAUUUUAACUUUAAAUUUAAAUUUUAAUAUAUUUAAGAAAUAAAAUAUAAUUCUCAUACAUCCAUUCAUACAAGCUUCCAAUUAAGAAACUAAUUACUAUGCUACCUUUGCACAGUCAAAAUACUGCAGCCAUUUAGAGAUAAUUUAACCAUAGGGCAGAAGAUACUUUUUACAUAAACCA
rnacentral:rRNA from 1 species